rnacentral:lncRNA from 1 species
CUAAACUUCCUAUUUACGUGCAGGUGUGCAUAACGUUGUUUGUGCCAGCCCCUGAUUGUGCCCCCGGCUACUCCGGACCCGGUGGUCUACAUCGCACCGCUCUGGGAGACUUCUCGCUGCGGAACUGUACUGGAGGCAUCGCUGGAUAUAUUGAUAGGCUUCUGUUGGGUCCGUCCCACUUAUAUGACCACGGGACGUUCAAAAAGAUCUACCACACAGUGGUACCACAUGACCCGGAGGGCAUCCUGGGUAUACUGUCUGGAGUGCUCGUGGUGCAAGCUGGAGCUCAUGCCACGAGGAUCAUGCUGGUCUAUAACCAUGCUCGAGCACGCAUAAUGC